UAACGACAAGAGGAUCGACUUUUCACUAGACACGUCGAUCAAUGUUUUCAUGCAAAGUUUCUCAGAUCGUGCUUGAAAUUUAAAUAGUUGUCCUUCAAUGUUUGUAAAAACCGUUACUAGAGACACUUAUUCGAAUCUGAAAUAUCGAUACAGAGCGUGAGAUCGAUAUUUCUUAAAAAGCACUCUCGUUUUUGCUCGAGAGAUCUAUUAUGUUCAACAGCGUACAAGCACAUCGAUCUCGAAAUUCGAACUCGUUGUACACGUCACCAAUAUCGAUAUUGCGACAACUGCGAUUCUCGAAGAGUAACCGACAAGAACGCAGUCAGCGUUCAAACGACGAAAAUUAACGCUGGAAGUCGACGUCGCCGUAUUCGCAGAUAAAUACUGAAUACUCGAUCCUGUCCAUUUCGAUCGGUGGAUCGCGAACGACGGUGCCAGGGAGUGAAGCGGAAGCGCGAAUUCUGAUCUUUACCUCGGUUAUCCAGAGUGGGAACCAUCCAGGAACGUCCGCUGCAUCCCGUGAGCCCUCUGAUACAUGGACCUCUUUCUAACCGUAGAAAAUCCAAUGACAAUAGGAAACAAUGGAGAGAAAGAACGUGGACGUGUACAUCCUAUAUCUAUCAGACACCGUUCGUUUGUACGUCAGGUCACCGCUCCCUGGGAGAUCACUGCCCUCACGCACACCCGGUGCCUUCCUCUCGUUCCUUCGGCUCGCUCAGUCGUCGUCGUGUGUCUCUGCCCCGACGAUGGGAGGCAGGGACGUAUCGCAGAGCCGAUGUGCCCAUCGCGAACAACACGCACACCGAAUCGUUCAGAUUUGUUUUUUUAAAGAAUUUCGUUAAUACACUUCCCAAUUGCAGAUCCGUCAUUGAACGUACUGGGAGCACUGCAAUCCUAACACGGCAGGGAAGAAGCGUGAAGGUUUAAAGGAAAACAGAAUCUCAGUGGUAGCGAUGGGUCGUUGAUCGUCGCGAAAGUAACAGAAAGUCAAGAGUAUAACGUCGUUGCCGUUACUCGUCAUGAAUGCGUUUUUUCCCCAUCACUACCGGUCGCAGAUCUCCCUCCUCUUCGAGUCCGAAUUUCAUGACUGUUGAGUUCGUCUCCGACGUUCCGAUGAACAACUUUCGUCGGACGUAGCGAUCACUCGCGGACGGGCAAGUACUUCACGCAGAAACUCGCAUGAAUUGA